rnacentral:misc_RNA from 1 species
GUUCAAACUCCGAUGCUGGUGUACAGUUUCAGGGUUGGGACUCUGUUGCCGGGCUCCACGAUGUCAUCCAAUGUAUGAAAGAGGUUGUCAUCUUACCACUUUUGUAUCCUGAGCUCUUUAGUUCUCUGGGGCUUACACCUCCUAGAGGAGUUCUUUUGCACGGAUAUCCUGGGACAGGUAAAACUUUGAUAGUACGGGCACUGAUUGGUUCAUGUGCACGCGGCGAUAAACUAAUAGCAUAUUUUGCUCGUAAAGGGGCAGAUUGUUUGGGGAAGUAUGUCGGGG